rnacentral:tRNA from 1 species
AGUGUGGCGCAAUGGUAGCGCAACGGUUUUGUAAACCGUCGGUUGCGGGUUCGAGUCCUGUCACUG